rnacentral:rRNA from 1 species
AAGACCUUGCGCUUUUGGAGCGGCCGAUGUCUGAUUAGCUUGUUGGUGAGGUAAAGGCUUACCAAGGCUUCGAUCAGUAGCUGGUCUGAGAGGACGGCCAGCCACACUGGGACUGAGACACGGCCCAGACUCCUACGGGAGGCAGCAGUGGGGAAUUUUGGACAAUGGGGGCAACCCUGAUCCAGCCAUGCCGCGUGAGUGAAGAAGGCCUUCGGGUUGUAGAGCUCUUUCAGCCGGAACGAAACGGUUACGGUUAAUACCCGUGACUACUGACGGUACCGGAAGAAGAAGCACCGGCUAACUACGUGCCAGCAGCCGCGGUAAUACGUAGGGUGCAAGCGUUAAUCGGAAUUACUGGGCGUAAAGCGUGCGCAGGUGGUUUUGUAAGUCAGAUGUGAAAUCCCCGGGCUUAACCUGGGAACU